UGACCUCAAAUCGGGUGAGACUACCCGCUGAACUUAAGCAUUC
rnacentral:rRNA from 1 species